GUGGCGAACGGGUGCGUAACACGUGGAAAACCUUCCUUCAGGUGGGGAAUAACCCAGUGAAAAUUGGGAUAAUACCGCAUAACAAGACGGGGGCACAUGCUCUUGUCUUCAAAGGCGCAAGUCGCCGGAAGAGGGAUCCGCGGCCGAUUAGCUUGUUGGCGGGGUAAAGGCCCACCAAGGCAAUGAUCGGUAGCCGGUCUGAGAGGAUGGCCGGCCACACUGGAACUGAGACACGGUCCAGACUCCUACGGGAGGCAGCAGUGGGGAAUCUUGCGCAAUGGGCGAAAGCCUGACGCAGCGACGCCGCGUGGGGGAUGAAGCUUCUCGGAGUGUAAACCCCUUUCGACCCGGACGAAAGCCCGCAAGGGCCUGACGGUACGGGUAUAAGAAGCCCCGGCUAACUACGUGCCAGCAGCCGCGGUAAAACGUAGGGGGCCAGCGUUGCUCGGAAUUACUGGGCGUAAAGGGUCCGUAGGCGGUGUGGCAAGUCGGUAGUGAAAUCUCUCGGCUUAACUGAGAGGCUGCUGCCGA
rnacentral:rRNA from 1 species